ACCAGUUUUAAGGCCGCAGCCACUCGCUCCAUCUUCUACGACCUUCUAUCUUGUCUCGAUCAUGGUGCAAAGAGAAAAAGAAACUGUGUGAGAAGAGCAUGGCAACUGUUUAAUAGGAGUAAUCGAUGAACAUAAAGAAGAUCAAUCGAUAACCCGUGUCAUCAAAAGCGCGAAAACCUAACUUCCAAGAUCAAUCGAUGAACAUAAAGACGAGGAGAAAAGCGCACGCCUCGGAAAUGCGAACGAAGCGUAACGGAAGUGACGAGGAAGAUCACGCGUACCUCGGAGAUGCGAGGAGAAAGCCUCACCAAUCGCCGUUCCUCGGAGAUGCGGAGGAGAAGCCCAUUACGAAGGAAACGCCGUGGCGGACGGAGGGAGCGCCGAUCGAGGGAAUUGAUUCCAUGCUACCCAUCACGACCUCUAUAUGGAACCGCAACAGUUCGAAUCGUCCGUACUUUCGUGCAAGCGUGCGAACGGCACGCGUGGUGGUCGACUCGCUCGAUCAAAUCACGCUCAAGUCGAAUCCGAAAUCGACGGCCGAGAUUUACCGACGGAUAAUUAAUUUUUUGGAAAAGAAAAUAA